rnacentral:lncRNA from 1 species
GGACCCAGUUUCAACAAGUCUUUCUCCACACUUCUAAACACUUUUCAUGCAUCUCUAGCACUUGUAAACAAUCAUAUUUAUUGUAUUCUAACAUAUUCUAACCCCAAAGAACACUAGAUAAGUCAUUUAGUGCUUCAAAUAAUUGUUUCUGAUUUCGUAGCCCAUUUGGAACCCAAUUUCAACAAGUCUUUCUCCACACUUCUAAAC